rnacentral:misc_RNA from 1 species
CGGUGAUAUCAUUGUUAAUAGAAUCUUUUGUUUUAUUUUUCAAGUUCAACUGUGAUGAGUGUAAAAUUUGUAAAUUCAAAUUUCUGGUUUAAGCAAAUUGAUUUGCAACACCAGAAAAAUGUGCCCAGUAAAAUUCCAUGUGAAUUUUUGUUUGAACUUUAGUUGUGGUUCAUUGUAUUUUUCUGGAUUUUGGGGGAGGGUCUAAA